UGGGGAAUAUUGGACAAUGGGCGCAAGCCUGAUCCAGCCAUGCCGCGUGUGUGAAGAAGGCCUUCGGGUUGUAAAGCACUUUUGUUGGGGAAGAAAUCCCGGGGAUUAAUACUUCCUGGAGCUGACGGUACCCAAAGAAUAAGCACCGGCUAACUUCGUGCCAGCAGCCGCGGUAAUACGAAGGGUGCAAGCGUUACUCGGAAUUACUGGGCGUAAAGCGUGCGUAGGCGGUUGGUUAAGUCUGCUGUGAAAGCCCUGGGCUCAACCUGGGAACUGCAGUGGAUACUGGCCAGCUAGAGUGUGUCAGAGGAUGGUGGAAUUCCCGGUGUAGCGGUGAAAUGCGUAGAGAUCGGGAGGAACACCAGUGGCGAAGGCGGCCAUCUGGGACAACACUGACGCUGAGGCACGAAAGCGUGGGGAGCAAACAGG
rnacentral:rRNA from 1 species